GCUCAAAUUUGAAACCUUCAAGGUUUUACCUUGACGAAUUGUAGUUUAAAGAAGUGUUUUCUGUUGGUGUUUUGGUAAAAGUUCUUUGGAAUAGGACAUCAUAGAGGGUGAGAAUCCCGUAUUUGACCAUUACUUCCAGCGUUGUGAUACACUUUCAAAGAGUCGGAUUGUUUGGGAAUGCAGUCCAAAAUGGGUGGUAAAUUUCAUCUAAAGCUAAAUAUUGGCGAGAGACCGAUAGCGAACAAGUACCGUGAGGGAAAGAUGAAAAGAACUUUGAAAAGAGAGUUAAACAGUACGUGAAAUUGUCAAAAGGGAAGCGUUUGACACCAGUGUUGUUUUCUCGAAAAUCAAUUAAAAAAAGUUGGAUUUUGUAUUGUUAAGACCUUAUCAGCUUACUGUACUCUUUUCUUGCUUUUUUUAAUGCACUUUUCAUUUAACAAG
rnacentral:rRNA from 1 species